AAUAAAUGUAACUAUAAUUUAAAAGAGAUUAAAUGAUAGGUCAUUAAAUUUAAAAGAUUUGGCAGUAUUUAAUAUUUAGAGGAACCUGUAUAUUAAUUGAUAAUCCACGAUAAGAUAUACUUGAUUUAAGUUUAUGUAUUGCUGUUUUUAGUAUUUAAUUAAGUUAGAUAAAUGAAAUUUAUAAGAUUUAUUAAAAUAAUUCAAGUCAAAAUAUAGUUUAAUUAAGAUUAAUAUGGGUUACAAUUAAUUUAAUUAUUGGAUUAAAAAAUUUAAAUUUUUUAUGAAAAUGGAUUUAAAAGUAAAUUUAAUUAAUUUAUUAAAUUGAAUAAUAAAUUAAAUAUGU
rnacentral:rRNA from 1 species